rnacentral:rRNA from 1 species
AUUGAACGCUGGCGGCAGGCCUAACACAUGCAAGUCGAGCGGAUGAAGGGAGAUUGCUCCUGGAUUCAGCGGCGGACGGGUGAGUAAUGCCUAGGAAUCUGCCUGGUAGUGGGGGAUAACGUAAGGAAACGGGCGCUAAUAUCGCAUACGUCCUGAGGGAGAAAGUGGGGGAUCUUCGGACCUCAAGCUAUCAGAUGAGCCUAGGUCGGAUUAGCUAGUUGGUGGGGUAAAGGCCUACCAAGGCGACGAUCCGUAACUGGUCUGAGAGGAUGAUCAGUCACACUGGAACUGAGACACGGUCCAGACUCCUACGGGAGGCAGCAGUAGGGAAUAUUGGACAAUGGGCGAAAGCCUGAUCCAGCCAUGCCGCGUGUGUGAAGAAGGUCUUCGGAUUGUAAAGCACUUUAAGUUGGGAGGAAGGGCAGUAAGUUAAUACCUUGCUGUUUUGACGUUACCAACAGAAUAAGCACCGGCUAACUUCGUG